AAGUCGUAACAAGGUUUCCGUAGGUAGGUGAACCUGCGGAAGGAUCAUUAACAUCCAAACGUUUAAAACCCUUACAGACCGCCUGGAUAGACAAUCCCUGGUAAAUCAUCGCUGAAUGGAGUUGGUUCAGGGACAGUUUGUUCGGGUGAGACGCAUAGCUGUAAUCGAGAGAUCGUGGCAAAAGGUCUGACUGCUCCGUCAAGUCCCCCGCGUGCAUUGGAAAGUGGCAUUGGGGUGUAUGUCCUGGAGAAACCCCUCUGGAUGAUGGAAGGCCACCACGGCCUGUCACUGCGCUUUCCGGGCGGUCGUACCCCCCAGGAUGUCCCCGGUAUUAGUUGAAACGACCAACCAACCAUUGCGUGUUGAGCCUUGAAUAACUGUUAUCUUGGUUCUC
rnacentral:misc_RNA from 1 species